CAUUCCAUAGUGUAGUGGUUAGCACAUCUGCUUUACAUGCAGAAGGUCCUGGGUUCAUGCCCCAGUGGAGCCA
rnacentral:tRNA from 1 species